UAGCCUUGACAUUGAUAGAAUACACCAGAGAUGGAGUAGUGCCUUUCGGGGAACUUGAAAACAGGUGCUGCACGGCUGUCGUCAGCUCGUGUCGUGAGAUGUUGGGUUAAGUCCCUUAACGAGCGAAACCCUCAUUCUUAUUUGCUAGCAGGUAAUGCUGAGAACUAUAAGAAGACUGCCCGUGAAAGCGGGAGGAAGGAGAGGAUGAUGUCAAAUCAUCAUGUCCUUUAUGGGAUGGGCUACACAGGUGCUACAAUGGGGUGUACAAAGUGUUGCAAUAUAGUAAUAUGGAGCUAAUCACUAAAACACUCCUCAGUACGGAUUGAGGCUUGCAACUCAGCCUCAUGAAGCUGGAAUCGCUAGUAAUCGUGGAUCAGAAUGCCACGGUGAAUACGUUCCUGGGUCU
rnacentral:rRNA from 1 species